rnacentral:rRNA from 1 species
UACGAAGGGGGCUAGCGUUGUUCGGAAUCACUGGGCGUAAAGCGCACGUAGGCGGAUGUGCCAGUCAGGGGUGAAAUCCCGGAGCUCAACUCCGGAACUGCCUCUGAUACAGCACGUCUUGAGUUCGAGAGAGGUGGGUGGAAUUCCUAGUGUAGAGGUGAAAUUCGUAGAUAUUAGGAAGAACACCAGUGGCGAAGGCGGCUCACUGGCCCGGUACUGACGCUGAGGCGCGAAAGCGUGGGGAGCAAACAGG